rnacentral:rRNA from 1 species
GACGAACGCUGGCGGCGUGCCUAAUACAUGCAAGUAGGACGCAGUUGCGAACGGGUGAGUAACGCGUAGGUAACUACCUAUUAGAGGGGGAUAACUAUUGGAAACGAUAGCUAAUACCGCAUACUAGUAGAUGGUCCUGCGUUGUAUUAGCUAGUAGGUAGGGUAAUGGCCUACCUAGGCAACGAUACAUCGCCGACCUGUGAGGGAGUGCGGCACAACUGGGACUGAGACACGGCCCAGACUACUACGGGAGGCAGCAGUAGGGAAACGUCGGCAAUGGGGGGAACCCUGACCGAGCAACUGCGCGUGAGUGAAGAAGGUUUUCGGAUCGUAAAGCUCUGGUGUUAAGGAAGCGGUACUUAACCAGAAAGGGACGGCUAACUACGUGCCAGCCGCCGCGGUAAUAC